ensembl:lncRNA
GACCCUGCCCGUGCUGCAGUCCACACAGGAGCCCGGACGCGGGGGUCGUGCUGCCCCUUUGAGAUGGGAGCGCUGCCUGAGUGUCAGGCAGCCCCCGCUUCUGUGUCGUCCCUCCGUUAAUUUCCCUCCAGUUGUGUUCUGUGUGUCCCCAGGACGCUUCAGCUCCGAGUCACUGCUGCUCAAGAGUUCAGUCAGCCACUCAAAGCCUAGCAGGAUAGAGACCUAAAAAAAUCCCAUUCUCGUUUAAGAGAUGGCCAAAAUAGCUCUGUAAUGAACAGUUUUAAGUCAUUAUCCAUACACCUGAAGAAAUCACAGCGGGGCACGUGCAGACCCGGGGCCCCACUCCCAGCUCCCCGUCCCCGGGAGCCCGCGGGUGAGAGGCACAUCCUGGGGAUGUGGCGCUGCUGGGGGCAUAGUCCCCACUGCCAGCCAGCCAGACACCCCGUCCUUCUGGCGGGAAAGGUGUUGGCCCGCGCUGCCGGUGGGCACUGGCUGGGCAUGGAGAGUCGGGCCGGGCGUGUGCUGCCGCGGCUGUCGGGAGCAUCGCCCUGAGCUCAGUCGCGGGCGGCGGCGGUGUCGGGUGCUCGCAGAGCCUCCCAAAGCAGGGUCACUAACAGCCGCCAGGGGGCGCCCUUCUGCCUAAGAUCUUCCCCUCAAGGCUUGGUUUCUCCUCUCCCCUGGCUUCUGCUGUCCGUCCCCUGUCGGCCUUGUAGUCCGACCUUUUGUCUUCGGGAAGCUCUGCCACUAAGGAGGCUAAACGGUUUGAACUUACCUCCGAGCUUAGGAAGGUAGAACGUGUGCCUCGCGCGUCCCACGCUUGCCGCUGCCUGCUGCCCGCGCUGGCUCACCACAGGCAGUCCGAGGAGGGGGCGCAGCGGCCGCGGGUGCGGAGCCCGGGGCAGGGGGGAGCACGUCUCCUCUCACGAGCCGGUCACCAGCACCCUCCGUGAGCCAUGUGUCACACACGAAGCCGCGCAGGCUGCGUGAGCAGGCGUGCGGGCAGGUCCCCCGCAAACCCGGGGUAGUGGUCCGCACAGAGCAUGGCCCGCUUGCCGCCCCUGCAGUCACAGCCCGCGUGUCGUCAGGACAGGGUCGUUGCGAGCGGAGCUGACACUGUUCUUGGCCGACAGGGAGAGAGACACGGCAGCAUCAAGGAGAGGCUGCGCCAGAUGGAGGCCCAACUGGAGGAGAACAAGGUCACCCUGGAGACGAUGGAUAUGUGACCCCAGAUGCAGGAUCUUGGGGGAUGUCACACUUGAGAUUCUGGGCGGGACCCCAGGUUCAGGGUCUGGGAAGGGGUAGUCACCUGGAAAAUGUACACAUGUGGCCAGAGUUAAAAGGUCUGGUGAGGUGGACUCAACCUAGAGCCUAUGGACAUGUGACCCCAGGUCUAGGGUGGGAGACGGGGGUUAACCUGGAAACUGUGGGCAUGUGACCCCAGAAACAUUUUCUGUGAGGGGUGCCACCUAGGAUACUGUGGACAUGUGACCUCAGGGGGACAGUCUAGGAGGAGUUCACCCUGGAGACUGUGGAUGUGUGACCCCAGGUGCAGGGUCUGGGAAGAGGGCUCUCCCUGGAGACUGUGGACGUGUGACCCCAGGUGAAGGGUCUGGGGAGAGGGCUCUCCCUGGAGACUGUGGAUGUGUGACCCCAGGUGAAGGGUUUGGGGAGAGGGCUCUCCUUGGAGACUGUGGACGUGUGACUCCAGGUGAGGGGUUUGGGAAGAGGGCUCUCCCUGGAGACUGUGGAUGUGUGACCCCAGGUGAAGGGUUUGGGGAGAGGGCUCUCCUUGGAGACUGUGGACGUGUGACCCCAGGUGAGGGGUUUGGGGAGAGGGCUCUCCCUGGAGACUGUGGACGUGUGACCCCAGGUGAGGGGUUUGGGGAGAGGGCUCUCCCUGGAGACUGUGGACGUGUGACCCUAUGUACAGGGACUGAAUGUGGUCACAUAGGAGAUGCUGGACAUGUGAACCCAGGUCUUCACCCUGGAGACGUGAAUGUGUGACACCAUGUACAGUGUCUGGGAGGGGGUCACCAUGGAGACUGUGGACUUGUAACCACAGUUAUGGGGUCUGGGAGAGGUUCAGCUUGUGGUCUGUGGACCUGUGUCCCAGGUGUAGGGUCUGGGAAGAGGAGUCACCCUGGAGACUGGAUGUGAGAACCCAGGUGCAGGGUCUGAGAGCUGGGGUCACCUUAGGGAGUGUGGAUGUGUGACCACAGGUACAGGGUUGGGAGAUGGGUUCACCCUGGAACCUGGACGAAUGACCCCAAGGCCAUGGCCUGGGAUGUGGGACACCCUGAAGAUUUUGGACGUGUAACCCCAGGUGCAGGGUCUGGGAGGUGUGGUCUCCCUGGAGACUGUGUACUCAUAUCCCAGGUACAGGUUCUGGAAGGGGGGAGUCACCCUGGGGACUGUGGACUUGUGACCCAAGGUGCAGUGUCUGGGAAGAGGCUGACCCUGGAGACUGUGGACAUGUGGCGCCGUGUACAUGGUCUUGCGGGUCACCCUGGAUAUUGCAGACAUUGAAAUCCAGGUGCAGUCUAGGAGGGGUGUGGCCGUGUGACAGAGAGAGAGGGUCUGGGGGGGGGUGACACCCUGGAGACUGCGGACAAGUGACCCUAGGUGCAAGGUCUGGGAGGGGCUAACCCUGGAGACUUGAAUUGGGAGCCCAGGUACUGACUCUGGGAGGCGGGGUCACCCUGGACACUAUGGAUAUGUGACCCCAGGUACAUGGUCUGGGAGGUGGGGUCACUCUGGGUACUGCGGACAUGUGAUCCCAGGUGCAGUUUCUGUGACGUGGUGUCCCCUUGGAGACUGAACAUGUGACCCUAGGUACAGGGUCUGGGAGGUGGGGUCACUCUGAGGACUGUUGACGUUUGAUUCAAAGUGCAUAUUUAGGGGAGGGGGCUCUCCCUAGAGACUGUGGACGUGUGAACCAAGGUGCAUGUUACGGGAGAGGGUCACCAUAGAGACUGUGGACGUGCGAAUCCAGGUAUAGGGUCUAGGACAUGGCGUUAUUCUGCCAACUCUAGCGACAGGUGACCCCAGGUGCAGGGUCGGGUGGGGAUCACCCUGGAGAUGGUGGUCAUGUGAUCCCGGAUGCAUGGUCUAGGAGGGAAUCACCAUGGGACUAUGGAUGUGUGACUCCAGGUUUAGGCUCUGGAAGGUGGGGUUACUACUGUGGAUAUGUGACCCUAGUUGCUCGGUCUGGGGUGUGGAGUUGCCCUGGAGACUGGACGUGUGACUCCAAGCAUAGUGUCUCCAGAGGGGUGUCACCCUAGACACUGUGGAAAUGUGACCCUAGGUCCAGGGUCGAAAGGAGGUCACCCUGGAUACUAUGGACAUAUGACCCCAGGUGCAGGGUCUAGGAAGUGGGAUCACACUGGAGACUUUUGACGUAUGACCCCAGAUGCAGGGUCUGUGAGGUGGAGUCUCCCUGGAGACUGUGUAUAUGUGUCCCCCAGUAAAGGUUCUGGGAGGUGGGCUCAUUUGGGGGACUCUGGGUGUGGGACUUAAAGUGCAGUGUCUGGGGAAGAGGCUGACCCUGGAGACUGGGGACUUGUGACAAUAUGUAUGUAGUUUGGGAGGGGGCAACCCUGGAGACUAUGUACUUAUGACCCCAGGUGUAGGUUUGGGAGGGGUGUCACCUUGAGACUGUGGAUGUGAGAACCCAGGUGCAGGAUCUGAGAGCUGGGGUAACCCUGGAGACUGUGACAUAUGACCCCAGGUGCAUGUUCUGGGAGGUGGGGCCCACCUUGUAGAUUGUGGACAUGUUACCCCAGAUCACAGUCUCCAGAGUGACCCCUCACAGAAACUGUUCCUGGGGUCAUAUGUCCACAGUCCCCAGGUGAACCCACAUCCCAGACCCUGUACCUGAGGCCGUAUGUCCACAGUCUCCAGGGUGAUCCCCUUCCCAGACCCUGCACCUGAGGUAACAUGUCCACAGUGUAAAAGGUGGAACCCACCUCUGCAGACCCUGCAUCUGAGGUCACACUUCCACACUCUUCAGUUACCCAAGCUCACAGACCCUGUACCUGGGGUCACAAGUCUCCAGUCUCCAGAAUGACUCCCCUGCCGAACCUGUACCUGGGGUCACACUUCCACAGUCUCUAGGGUGUCACCACUGUACCUGGGUUCACACGUCCCCUGGGAGGGCGAUCACCCUGGAGACUGGAUGUAUGACCUCCGGUACAGGGUCUGCGAUGUGGGUUCACCUGAGGACUGUGAACAUGUGACCCCAGGGUCAGUUUCUGUGAGGUGUGUCACCUAGGAUACUGUGGACAUGGGACCCCAGGAGCAGGGUCUGGGAGGGGUUCACACUGGAGCCUGUGGACAUGUUAACCGCAGGUGUAAGGUCUGGGAGGGGGGGUCACUCUGGAGACUGCGGAUGUGUGACACCAGAUACAGGUUCUGGGAGGGUUAUCACCCUGGUGACUGUGGAUGUGUGACCACAGGUUUAGGGUCUGUGAGGGGUUCAUCCUUGCGACUGAGGACGUGUGACCCAGGUGUAGUGUCUGGGAAGCGGGAUACACUGGAAACUAAAAAUGUGGCCCCAGGUACAGGGUCUGGGAGGGAGGUCACCCUGGAGACUGGAUGUAGACCCCAUUUGCAGGGUCUGGGGAGAUGGCUCUCCCUGGAGACUAUGGAUGUGUGAAGCAAUGUACAGGGUCUGGGGAGAGGGGUCACCCUGGAGACUGUUGACAUGUGACCCUACGUGCAGGAUUUGGUGAUGUGGGGUCACCCUGCCAACUGUGGGCAUGUGACCCCAGGUACAGGGUCUGGGGAGGGGUGUCAGCCUGGAGACUCUGGGCAUGUUACCCCAGGUGCAGGUUCUGGAAGGGGAUCACCCUGGAGAUUCUGGAUAUGAUUCCAGGUAUAGGGUCCAGGGAGCUGUGUCACCCUGUGACCCCAGGUUCAGGGUCUGGGGAGGGGUGUCAGCCUGGAGACUGUGGAAAUGUGACCCCAGGUGCAGUUUCGGGAAGAGGUCACCCUGGAGACUGAAUGAGUGACAGCAGGUGCAGGGUCUGCGAAGUGUGGUCUUGGUGGAGACAGUGGACAGGUGAACCCAGGUACAGGGUGUGUGGAGGGUUGUCACCAUAGAGACUGUGGAAGUGUGACCCCAGGUGCAGGUUCAGGAGAGGGUCACCCUGGAGACUGUGGGUGUGUGACCCCAGGUACAUGUUCUGGGAGGUGGGAUCCACCUUGUACACUAUGGACACGUUACUCCCGGUGCAGCAUCUGGGAGGGGGAUCACCAUGGAGACUGUGGACAUGUGAUCCCACAUGUAGUGUCUGGGAGGGGAGGUUACCCUGGAGGCUGUGGACGUGUGAUUCCAGGUGCUCAGACUAGUGUUGUAAGGUCACCCUGAAAUCUCUGGACAUGUGACCACAGGUUCAGCGUCUGGGGGAUGUCACCCUGAAGACUAUGGACGUGUGAUCAGAUGUUCAGAGUAAGGGAAUGGUGGUCACCCUGGAGACUGUGGAGUUGUGACCACAGGUAAAAGUUCUGAUGAGGUGGGGUCAGCCUAGAGACUGUGAACAUGUGACCUAAGGUACAAGUUCUGGUGAGAAGGUAUGGAGACUGUGGAGGUGUGACCCCACGUGCAGGGUCUGGGAGUGAGGUUACCCUUGAAAUUGGAAAUGUGAGUGCAGAUACAGGGUCUUGGAGGGGAGUCACCAAGGAGACUCUGGACAUGUGACCCAGGUGCAGGUAUUUUGAAGGGGUCAUUCUGGAGCCUGUGGAUGUGUGACCCCAGGUGAAGAGUCUGGGGAGAGGGGUCACCUUGCAGACAGUUGACAUGUGACCACAGGUGCAUGGUUUGGUGAUGGGGGGCCACCCUGGAGACUGUGGAGUUUUGAAACUUGGUACAGGGUUUGGGAGGUAGGGUCACACUGGAGAUGGGACAUUGACCCCAUGUACAUGGUCUGGGAAGGGGUUCACCCUGGAGACUGUGGCCAUGUGACCCCAGGUACAGGGUCUGGGGUGGGGUGUCAGGAAUGUGUUGUCAAGGCUCCCUAAGUGCAGGGAAAUACACGGCCUUGACUCUGGAAAAUAGGUCCUCUGUGCAAACCUGGAGUCCUCACAUCUUAGAAUCUAGACAGCUACUAGGUGUGUGAAAAGCAGUCUCUUUUUUGCCUUUCAUUAAUCAAAUGAACAUAGGUUUCCCAGCACUCUGUUUGCUGAGAGUAACACAUGGCUUGAAAAUCCUUGCUUGGAGUUCAGUUUUAAGUAACAAUUUCCCCUCCCCAGUAUUACAUUAGGGAAGGCAACCACACUCACAGAGAAAAGCAAAGAAACAUCAAAACAUCUGUUCUAAGAAAUUUUCUCUGUAGGAGGGAUCCAGUGAUCUUAGGUCUGUCUGGAAAAUUCUUGGAUACUGCAGGGACACAUACUGAUUGUGAACCUGGAUCCUUGACCUUGUUGGCAGAAUUAGCAUUUUCUCUCUGUUGACCCUAAAACGGUGCACCUAGCUACUGCAUGGAAAGCCAUCCAGUUGCUGUACUCUUACUUGAGAUAGCAAUAGCUUUGUUCAAACCUUUGUGAUUUCUGAAGCAAGCAGGUGGCUUCCAACUCCUUGCCGCCGGUGCAUUUCCAGUGGAGUGUCAACUAAUCUAGGUAACAACGGUAUGUCACUCAGCACUCUCAGACACACUCCCACAGCCUGUUCCCUAUGGGCUGUCCCAGUAUGACCAAGGAAUGUGUUCACAAGGUUCGCAAAGUGCGAGGAAACCUUCUGCCUUGACUUGAAAAUAGGACCUCUUUGCAAACCUGGAGUCUUCACAUCUUAGAAUCUAGACAGCUGCUGAUAGGUUGUGAAAAACACUCUUUUUUGCCUUUCAUUAAUCAAAGGAACAUAGGCUUCCCAGCAUUCUGUUUGCUGACGGAAACACAGCGCUUGGAAAUCCUUGCUUGGAGGUCAUUUUUAAGUCACAAUUUCCCCUCACUGGCAUUGCAUUAGGCUAGGCCCCACAUGCCCAGGGGAAAGCCAACAAACAUGAAAACGCCUGUUCUAUGAAACUUUCUCUAUAGCAGGCAUCCAGUGAUCCUAGGUCUGUCUAGAAAAUUCUUGGAUGCUGCAGGGACACAUGAUGAGUGUGAACCUGGAUACUGGACCUUGUUGGCAGAAUUAGCAUUUUCUCCAUUGACCCUAAAAGCUACUGCCUGAAAAUCCAUCCAAUUGCUGUUCUCUUACUUGACAUAGCAAUAGCUUUGUUGAAACCUUUGCAAUUUCUGAAGAAAGCAGGUGGCUUGCAACUCCUUGCCACUGACACAUUUCCAAUGCAAUGUCAGCUAAUCUAGGUAACACCACUAUGGCACUCAGCACUCUCAGACACUCUGCUGCAGCCUGUUUCCUGUCCCAGUAUGACCUAGGAAAGUGUUCACAAGGCUCACAAAGGGCAGGGAAACAUAUGGCCUUGACUCUGGAAAUUAGUUCCUCUGUGCAAACCUGGAGUCCUCUCAUCUUAGAAUCUAGACAGCUGCUGAUAGAUAGGUGUGUGAAAACACUCUCUUUUUUGCCUUUCAUUAACCAAACAUAGGAUUCCCAGCAUUCUGUUUGCUGACCGAAACACACUGCUCGGAAAUCCUUGCUUGGAGGUCAUUUUUAAGUAACAAUUUCCCCUCACCUGUUAUACAGUAGGGAUGGCCCCUAAAUCAUAGGGGAAGGAAAAAUAUCAAACCAUGAUAUUUUCCAUGAUGUUUUCUCUGUAGCAGGCAUCCAGUGAUCCUAAGUCUGUCUGGAAAAUUCUUGGAUACUGCAGGGACACAUACUAAAUGUGAGCCUGGAUACUGGACCUUGUUGGCUAAAUCAGCAUUAUCUCUCUCUUGGCCCUAAAACAGUGCUGCUGAGAAGCUGCCUGAAAAUUCAUCCAAUUACUGUUUUCCUUCUUAUGAUAGCCAUAGCUUUGGUCAAACCAUUGGGAUUUCUGAAGCUAGCAGGCGGCUUGCAGCAAGAUCAUUUCCAUUGGAAUGUCAACUAAACUAGGUAACAACAGUAUCGUCCUCAACUCUUUCAUACACAGUCCUGCAGCCUGUUUCCUCAUGGGCAGUGCCAGUAUGACCUAGGAAUGUGUUUGCAAGGUUCAGAAAACCCAGGGAAAUAUACUGCCUAUGAAUCUGGAAAUUUGGGCCUCUGUGCAAGUGUUGUUCUCAUAUCAUAGAAUCAAGACAGUUGCCAAAAGAUAGAUGGCUGAAAAAUAACUCUCUUUUUUGUCCUUUCGUUCAUCAGAGGAACAUAGAUUUCACAGCACCCUGUUCACUAACCAAAACAGAAAUCAGAAAUCCUUGCCUGGAGGUCACUUUUAAAUAACAAUUUCCCCUCACCUCUUAUACAGUAGGGAAGGCCCCCAAAUCACAGGAAAAGUAAACAAAUAUCAAACUGUCUGUUCCAUGAUGUUUUCUCUGUUUCCAGUGAUCUCUGUUUCCAGUGAUCCUAGGGCUGUCUGGAAAAUUCUUGGAUACUGCAGGGACACAUACUGAGUGUAAACCUAGAUACUAAACCAUGUUGGCAAAAUUAGCAUUUUCUCUCUGUUGGCAGCAACAGUAUGGCACUCGGCACUCUCAGACAUUCUCUUGUAGUCUGUUUCCUCGUGAGCAGUCCUAGUAUCACCUAAAAAUAGGUUCACAAGGCUCAAAAAGUGCAGGGAAACAUACUCUCUGUGACUCAGGAAAUUGGGGCCUCUGUGCAAAUGUGUUCUCACAUCAUAGAAAGUAGACAGUUGCUGAUAGAUGCCUGAAAAACACUCUUUUCUUGCCUUUUGUUCAUUGUAGGAAUGUAUGUUUCCCAGCAUUCUGUUUGCUGAGAGUGACCCACUGCUUGCAAAUCCUUGCUAGGAGGUCAUUUUUUUAAUAUAUA